GCGCGCGUAGCUUAGUGGUAGAGCGCUGCCUCGACACGGCAGAGGUCGGAAGUUCGAAUCUUCCCGUGCGCACCA
rnacentral:tRNA from 1 species